rnacentral:lncRNA from 1 species
GUUACCUCACAGGAUUUUGAGAAAUGGUUUUCUCUUGAUUACUUCUUUUCCACUCACAAUGUUACACACCUGUCAAGCAUGUGGCAACAAUGUUUGUUCAAAUCUCUCUGGAGUUAGAAUAAAAUUAUGUGCAAGUUUCUACUGAAAAAGAAUUAUUCAAGAAAUGAAUGUUUAAAAAAGCAGUUGUGAUUGAUCCAUUUCCAAAGUAUUCACACUGAUGCUGAUAUGAUUUGAAUUUGUAUCCCCGCCCAAAUCUCACGUUGAAUUGGAGGAGGGGCUUGGUGGGAGGUGGUUGGAUUAUGGGGGUAGAUUUCUCCCUUGCUGUUCUUGUAAUAGUGAGUGAGUUAUCAAGAGAUCUGAGGGUUUAAAAGUGUGUGGAACUUCCCCUUUUCUCUCUCUUUCUCUCCUGUGACCAUGUGAAGAAGCUGCUUGCCUCCGCUUCACCUUCCACCAUGAUUGGCCUGAAAUAACUCGGUGACUAAGGAAUUUCAUUGAGAAAAAAGACAAAAACAAAACAAAUACUUUGUCUUUUGGAAUAAAUGAAUCCUUACAGAAGAGUGGUAAAAUGAACACGAGUUUGGAUCUGUGGAGCCAUUAUUAAGUAAUGAAGACUGAAUUCACCUUCUUUGGGCUGAAGCGAAAUAGAGAUGAAAAUCCCUUCAAUAAUAGAUAUCUACCCACUCCAUGGCCUCUACACCCGCUACUACCCACAUCUGCUGCACAUGAUGGAAACAUUGUUAUUCAUUUGGUUAAUCAUCAAACUCCCAUUGAACACAUACUCCAUUAUGCACUGAAUUAUUACAUUCUGUAAUUCCAAGUAGAAGAGAAUCUAAGAGCUUGUAUUCACAAAUAACUUGUCUGAAGAAAUAACAUCAAAAGAAUAUGGCAUCUCAAAUGAUUAUGAAAAUCACCCUUCAUAGAAGAUGGCGGAUUAUGUUUGUUGCAUUGUUUCUGUAAUGGGACUGAUAGUUUGUGCUGAAUAAUUCAUGCUAUUUGCCCAAGCCCCUUGAAAGUGCUGGCAUAUCUCUGAGGGACAGCUGGCUGAGAUUAUGGGACAUACUAUUGCCACAGACUUGAAUAUUGCCAAAUGGCCUCUUGGAGAUUUUUUUUGGUAGUGCAGUGUUUGCAAUGCUGUCUGUGGAAUUAUGCAGACCUGGGUUCAAAUUCUAACUCUACCCUUUGACUUGGACAAGGGAUUUAACCUCUUUUAGUCUCAAUUUCCUUGUAUGUAAAAUGAAAGUAGUAAUCCAUCCUUAUUGGGAUUUAUACAUAUAAUGUUAUAGGAACAGAAAUUUCAUUGUUUUAAUGAAAACUCCUUUUUCAAGGAGGUUGGGUCUGGUUAAAGGGAAUGUCCCUUUCCUAUUUAGUGCCUUGGGUUUGGUUGUGAAAACCUAGUAAGAGGAGUUGAGGGGUAGGUGGGUACUGGGAGAGCUCCAUUCUUUUUAGAAGAAGAAGAAUGGGGUGAGGAGAAGAGAAGGGAGGAGAGAGGCAAGAGGAGUCAGCCAAAAGGAGUGAAGCAGGAGGGCGAUGAGGCCAACAAAUUGGCAAGGUGGUGGUUGUG